GACGAACGCUGGCGGCGUGCUUAACACAUGCAAGUCGAACGGAAAGGCCCUGCUUUUGUGGGGUGCUCGAGUGGCGAACGGGUGAGUAACACGUGAGUAACCUGCCCUUGACUUUGGGAUAACUUCAGGAAACUGGGGCUAAUACCGGAUAGGAGCUCCUGCUGCAUGGUGGGGGUUGGAAAGUUUCGGCGGUUGGGGAUGGAAUCGCGGCUUAUCAGCUUGUUGGUGGGUAGUGGCUUACCAAGGCUUUGACGGGUAGCCGGCCUGAGAGGGUGACCGGCCACAUUGGGACUGAGAUACGGCCCAGACGCCUACGGGAGGCAGCAGUGGGGAAUAUUGCACAAUGGGCGGAAGCCUGAUGCAGCAACGCCGCGUGCGGGAUGACGGCCUUCGGGUUGUAAACCGCUUUCGCCUGUGACGAAGCGUGAGUGACGGUAAUGGGUAAAGAAGCACCGGCUAACUACGUG
rnacentral:rRNA from 1 species